rnacentral:ncRNA from 1 species
CAUAUUAACCAAAAUCUGCCAUUCUAGGAUUUGGUAAUAAUUUAAAUAUGUACACAAUUGGAUCUGACAUGAUUUGCUAUAUUUUUAGACUCUGUAUCACGUUUUCUCUAUUUCAAAAAAUGUAUUCCAAACUUACGAAUGGGUGCACUUAUUAGAUAAAGCCAACGCUGGGUAAAACCAGUUUCCCUUGGUGAUUCAUACUAAUUAAGCGGAUCGCAUGGCCUUGUGCUAGCGACAGUCCACUCGAUUUUCUGCCCUAUCAUGGUUGAGAUUGUAAGAUAGAGGCUUACAAUGCCUACAACGGGUAACGGAGGGGGAGCCUGAGAAACGGCUGCCACAUCCAACAAGCAAG